AUUGAACGCUGGCGGUAGGCCUAACACAUGCAAGUCGAACGCGAAAGUCCUUCGGGAUGAGUAGAGUGGCGGACGGGUGAGUAACGCGUAGGAAUCGAUCCUGUAGUGGGGGAUAACGUUUCGAAAGGAACGCUAAUACCGCAUACGCCCCAAGGGGGAAAGCGGGGGAUCUUCGGACCUCGUGCUAUAGGAGGAGCCUGCGUCGGAUUAGCUAGUUGGUGAGGUAAAGGCUCACCAAGGCGACGAUCCGUAGCUGGUCUGAGAGGAUGAUCAGCCACACCGGAACUGAGACACGGUCCGGACUCCUACGGGAGGCAGCAGUGGGGAAUAUUGCGCAAUGGGCGAAAGCCUGACGCAGCCAUACCGCGUGUGUGAAGAAGGCCUUCGGGUUGUAAAGCACUUUCAGUGGGGAGGAAAAGCUGGUGGCUAAUAUCCAUCGGCCGUGACGCUACCCACAGAAGAAGCACCGGCUAAUUCCGUGCCAGCAGCCGCAGUAACAC
rnacentral:rRNA from 1 species